rnacentral:lncRNA from 1 species
CAUGCAAUAUCAUCUAUGAUGAGUUUAUGUUAAUGUUACAUUACAAUUAAAAGUUAUCACUGUACAUAAGGCUAUACAAUUGGAAAUGAGAACGCAAAUCCGUUUAUUGAACCUAUUAAAUACCAAAAUUUUACUCGACAUAAAGAAAUCUACAAUUAAUUGAACUUACAAUCAUUCAAUUGACAUACAAGUUGUUUUCAUUUUUUUUAUAAUAUACAUAUCUCACAAAAUUAUAUUCAUUAUGUUUUUUUUGCAAAACUGAAUGAUGCGUAAUCUCGAAAUCAGCGAAAGUAUCACAGUACAUUGGAACAACUUCUUCUGCUCAUACUUGAAAGAGGAUCCCACGCACCUUAUUGACCGAACUUCUUGUUAGAUGUUUAAAUUUUCCAUCUGUGCACUGAAGAACAUACCUACUUGGUGACCAAUACACAGGCUAUAUCAGGUAAAAUAAAUGACAACUGUUUAAACUUCUUCAAAUAUAGGUCCAUUGAAGUAUUAAUCAUUGUCACUGUUUGAUAUUAUAAUAAUUUCAAUAUCUAACAAAAGAUGGGUGGUCUUACAGAAAGCUGAAUAUGUGUUACUUCCAACACGAAUGCAUGAUCAGACGUAAACAAUUAUCACUGUAUAGUGAGUAGGAAAGAGUUAAAAAUGUGAAUUCAAUAUAUCAAUAAAAAAAUAAAAAAAAGACGCUAUUAACAAGAUUAAGUUCAAUACACAUUCAUAUCAAUUAUAAAACAUUGAUUAUGCUUCAAAUUAACAACUCAAUCUUUCUUUUGUUUUUGUUUCAGUUAACAGUGUAAUGAACUAUAAAUAAUUGUUGUUGAUAGCAGAUUGGUGUUCUUGAAUAACCACCAUCAUUGUUAGGGCUGAUGAGCCAAAGACAUUUGAAAUUGCAUAAACUGUUAAUGAGCGAACAUCUGAAUGGAUUGAAGUACUCCCAGUAAAACUCCUCUAAGGUGAACUCAAAGUGUUGAUAAAAUAAAAAUGUUCAUUACUGUUAAUUAUAUGAUAUAUAGUAGACUAAAAUCAUACUGUUGCAGUCUGAUAGUUUUUCAAAUGUGCUAAUUCCAGGGCAUGCUGUAGUAGUAUUAUAUGUGACUGACAGUUCUUCAAUAUAAGCUACACCGAGCAAAUUAAGUGGAACAUAUACCAAUAGUUACGCAGAAAUAUUUUUCAACAAUCUUCACAUAUGCCAGCUCUAUUCUAGUGUCAUACAGUGUUUGUAAAUACAAAAAAGACAACCCCUAUUGUCAGUUUAACAAAGGGAUGCCAAGGUACAGGUAAGUGGUAAAAUGAAUUUCGUCAAAGAAUAAACUAUAACUCUGAAACAAGCC